rnacentral:rRNA from 1 species
CCUACGGGGCGCAGCAGUGGGGAAUAUUGGACAAUGGGCGAAAGCCUGAUCCAGCCAUGCCGCGUGUGUGAAGAAGGCCUUCGGGUUGUAAAGCACUUUCAGUGGGGAAGAAAGCCUUGGGGCUAAUACCCUCGAGGAAGGACAUCACCCACAGAAGAAGCACCGGCUAACUCCGUGCCAGCAGCCGCGGUAAUACGGAGGGUGCGAGCGUUAAUCGGAAUUACUGGGCGUAAAGCGCGCGUAGGCGGUCUGAUAAGCCGGUUGUGAAAGCCCCGGGCUCAACCUGGGAACGGCAUCCGGAACGGUCAGGCUAGAGUGCAGGAGAGGAAGGUAGAAUUCCCGGUGUAGCGGUGAAAUGCGUAGAGAUCGGGAGGAAUACCAGUGGCGAAGGCGGCCUUCUGGACUGACACUGACGCUGAGGUGCGAAAGCGUGGGUAGCAAACAGGAUUAGAUACCCUAGUAGUC